UACGGAGGGAGCUAGCGUUGUUCGGAAUUACUGGGCGUAAAGCGCGCGUAGGCGGCUUUGUAAGUUAGAGGUGAAAGCCCGGGGCUCAACCCCGGAACUGCCUUUAAGACUGCAUCGCUUGAAUCCGGGAGAGGUGAGUGGAAUUCAUGGUGUAGCAGUGAAAUGCGUAGAGAUCAUGAGGAAGACCAGUGGCGAAGGCGGGUCUCUGGACAGUUCCUGACACUGAGGCACGAAGGCCAGGGGAGCAAACGGG
rnacentral:rRNA from 1 species